UACGGGGGGGGCAAGCGUUGUUCGGAAUUACUGGGCGUAAAGGGCUCGUAGGCGGCCAACUAAGUCGGAUGUGAAAUCCCACGGCUCAACCGUGGAAGUGCACUCGAAACUGCAGGGCUAGAGUCCUGGAGAGGAAGGUGGAAUGCUUGGUGUAGAGGUGAAAUUCGUAGAUAUCAAGCGGAACACCGGUGGCGAAGGCGGCCUUCUGGACAGUGACUGACGCUGAGACGCGAAAGCGUGGGGAGCAAACAGG
rnacentral:rRNA from 1 species